rnacentral:tRNA from 1 species
GGUAUAGCGCAGUUGGUUAGCGCGCCAGAUUGUGGCUCUGGAGGUCGUGGGUUCGAUUCCCACUACC